CAGGGAGAGACAGGGCCUAUAUUAAUUGUCAAUUGCCACUUGGCUUCAAAGAAAGCACACGGAAUAACUUUUCAUUCCUUUUACAGGUAUUUCAAAACAACAGAGUGUAAAAAGACAUUAUUAUUUUUCUCCUUCUUUUUCAUAGAACAACAUUUGCAAAGACCAAACUGCCUGAGGGAUGGUGUGAGAAUCACACGCUUGACCACAUACUGUUCCAGCAAAGCUUGGCCGACGCCGCUCAGAAAAUACUGCUCCUGUCCACCUCCAGCCUGCUGCAAGGAGCCCGUGAGAGCUUCAGAAGUGUCUUUGCAGAGCAGAGCAGGGGCAGCAUGCUUCCCUUCUUUCCCCAGCCGCUGGUAGUUAGGAGACUCUGGGAAACUGAAGUAGCCAAGUCUUACGUCAGAGGUGAAAAGAUGCUCAAAUUAGUUCUGGGUCUCCAGAGGGCACCUAAAGGACUUGAUGUUAUUAGUAUGUCUGUUAUUAGGCAGUCAUCUCAAGUUUAGUGGUGUGUGUUUUUAAAACCAAGAAGGAAUUAUUUUCUUCUGAGAAGCUAACAUGCUGACAUUAACCCUGCCGUCUACAAAAAAGAGAAGAGAAGGAGGAAAAAAAGGAAAUUCCAAAAAAUUGGAGGACAGUUUGCUGACUAAAAUAAAAUACAUGUUGAGAGUUCUGAAGAAAGAAAC
rnacentral:lncRNA from 12 species